CUCAUUUUAACUAUGAUUAAGAAAAGAUACAUAGUGCUUAUACAGUUUUCAUUCUAGCACAAAGAGUUUACAACAGAACAUCAAUUUUACUUUUCCUUAUAAAAAUUGAGGUCUUAUUUUCAUGGAUUAUUUCGAAGAUUUGCGCUUAUGAGGCGGAUAAAUAUUAAGGAGAGUAACUUUGUCACACUUCAGGUAAUGUGCCACGUUUGAUAUUUUGUAUUUCGUUAGGGUUUGUGAUUUCAUAAUUGCUUACUUUACCCUUGUCGACGUCAAUAAAGAUAAAUUUCUAUGAUAUCUAUUUUUAUUUCUAUGUUAUAUUUUUUAUUUGAUACGGAGUAAUUAUUAAUGGAAUUUUAGAUCCAAUUUUAAUUGCUUACAUUACGGUUUGGUAAUUUGCAUGUUGUUUAAUAUUAUUAAUGGGAUUUUAGAUUCAAUUUUAGAACAAUCUGAAGAAUUUAUGCUCUUAUAUUAUAUGCUCAAAUUAUAGAACCCUAAAACCCCAAUUUUGCAGCCAGACAAAAAUUACAUGUUUGAGUAAAUAAGUACCUUGGGUGAUAAAGAAUUAUGUUGAUAGCUGGAAUUUUCAAUGCACAAAAUGAUGGUAUACAGUUGGUGCAAUCUUUGAGAUAUGAAAAUUGCAAAAGCAUGAUAUAAAAAUCCAAGUAAGUCU
rnacentral:lncRNA from 1 species